rnacentral:rRNA from 1 species
AUUCCUACGGGGGGCAGCAGUAGGGAAUAUUGCUCAAUGGGGGAAACCCUGAAGCAGCAACGCCGCGUGGAGGAUGAAGGUUUUCGGAUUGUAAACUCCUGGUGAGAGAGAAGAGAAUGGCGGUAUCUAACGAAUAAGCACCGGCUAACUCCGUGCCAGCAGCCGCGGUAAUACGGAGGGUGCAAGCGUUACUCGGAAUCACUGGGCGUAAAGAGCGCGUAGGCGGGAUAGCAAGU